rnacentral:rRNA from 1 species
AUUGAACGCUGGCGGCAGGCCUAACACAUGCAAGUCGAGCGAGCGGCGGACGGGUGAGUAAUGUCUGGGUAACUGCCUUAUGGAGGGGAUACCGACUGCAAACGGUAGCUAAUACCGCAUACCAUCAGAUGUGCCCAGAUGGGAUGAGCUAGUAGGUGGGGUAACGGCUCACCUCGGCGACGAUCCCUGGCUGGUCUGAGAGGAUGACAAGCCACACGGGAACUGAGACACGGUCCAGACGCCUACGGGAGGCAGCAGUGGGGAAUAGUGCACUAUGGGCUCAAGCCUGAUGCAGCCAUGCCGCGUGUGUGAAGAAGGCCUUCGGGUUGUAAAGUACUUUCAGCGGGGAGGCGUUACCCGCAGAAGAAGCACCGGCUAACUCCGUGCCAGCCGCCGCGGUAAUUC